GUAUGCUUGGUAUUUCCAGUAAUCAAAGGAGGAUGAAAACAGCAGUGAACGGAGGCACAGAAUAUUUGGCACAAUGUAGACAACUUCUGAGCACUGGGGAACAAGCCUUCUCCUAUCACUUGCCCUGAGGCGUGUAUCUUUUGCCCUGGUAAGUUUCAUAACAUUUUAAUCCUUUCCCUUCCUCAAUUGUGUGAUGGUGACCACAAUGCAACAGGAAAGUCCUCGUAAGAAAGACCCUUCAAUAUCUGGCUUGAUGUCACCAAGAUGUGCAAGAAAAAAAACAACACAAUGUCAAGUUGUCGUUCUGGAAAGGAGUGAGAGCUGUAGUGGGCAGCUGGAGAGCCGGCAGGUCAACCUCUUGUUGACACCAUCCUGCCAAGCCUUUUCUGGAGACAAAUGGAGUUUCCCAGCAUGUGUGGCUCCUACAGGUCCCUGGAGGCCAGCUGGGCAGAAAACUUGGGAGAAGCCGGAGAACCCACUGCUGGGCUGGCUGGCUGCAACAUUCACUGCAGAACCAACAUGAUGUUUUCUGCCUAAUUAGCAGUGAUAUAAAGAGUGACUGAGAGAAAUGUGGGGGUCUCAGUGUCUAAGAAGGGGUCUCCCACUUCAAUUGAAUGGACCCCACUUUCCUCCUUAAAUCUAUGUGCUCCUGUGUCCACUCCGGGUGUCCACUUUGCCUCUAAACAAUUAACUCCAAAAAACUAAGUCAUAAAAUCCAAUGCUUC
rnacentral:lncRNA from 1 species